AGCAGCCGCGGUAAUUCCAGCUCCAAUAGCGUAUAUUAAAGUUGUUGCAGUUAAAAAGCUCGUAGUUGAAUUUCGGGAUCAAUUAAUUGGUCGUGCCUCUGGUACGUACUGAUUUUAUUGGUUUCUCCCUUCUGACGAACCAUGAUGUCAUUAAUUUGGUGUCGUGGAGAAUCAGGACUGUUACUUUGAAAAAAUUAGAGUGUUUAAAGCAAGCUAACGCUUGAAUACAUUAGCAUGGAAUAAUGAAAUAGGACGUUUGAUCCUAUUUUGUUGGUUUCUAGGAUCGACGUAAUGAUUAAUAGGGAUAGUUGGGGGCAUUAGUAUUCAAUUGUCAGAGGUGAAAUUCUUGGAUUUAUUGAAGACUAACUACUGCGAAAGCAUUUGCCAAGGAUGUUUUCAUUAAUCAAGAACGAAAGUUAGGGGAUCGAAGACGAUCAGAUACCGUCGUAGUCUUAACCAUAAACUAUGCCGACUAGGGAUCGGAUGAUGUUAACUUUUUAAUGACUCAUUCGGCGCCUUA
rnacentral:rRNA from 1 species